CAGUGUCGAUGCUCGUUUUCAUUAAUUUCAAGCGAAAGUAUAACCUCGUUAUUGUAAGAGGAGAUAAAACAUCUUGCAAUGUCAUAAUAUUACGUGAAUGACCCGCCGAUUGAAUACCGUUUGAUUUGCAUUCCGUCGCGUAAACAGCGUUUAAUCGCUAGAAGAAUCGUCGUCGAGCAUCGUUAUUCGUGUCACGGUGAAAUCGAACUGGAUUAUCGAUCAACGAUGCACAGAUACGCAUUCGUAAUAUGCAAAUACCCGUUAUCAGCUUUUACCAGUUAAUUACUCGCCGCGAAUACCGAUUUCGAAGGACAAACACGUAGAUAACAGAGAAAGGCUACAAGUAACCACGACCAACUAACACAAAUCCUUUAUUUGGAAUGUCAAGAGAUGUA